rnacentral:rRNA from 1 species
UACGUAGGGACCAAGCGUUGUUCGGAUUUACUGGGCGUAAAGGGCGCGUAGGCGGCGCGGUAAGUCACUUGUGAAAUCUCCGAGCUUAACUCAGAACGGCCAAGUGAUACUGCAGUGCUAGAGUGUGGAAGGGGCAAUCGGAAUUCUUGGUGUAGCGGUGAAAUGCGUAGAUAUCAAGAGGAACACCUGAGGUGAAGACGGGUUGCUGGGCUGACACUGACGCUGAGGCGCGAAAGCCAGGGGAGCAAACGGG